rnacentral:misc_RNA from 1 species
GAAAUGCGAUAAGUAAUGUGAAUUGCAGAAUUCAGUGAAUCAUCGAAGCUUUGAACGCAACUUGCGCUCCUUGGUAUUCCUUGGAGCAUGCCUGUUUGAGUAUCAUGAAAUCUUCAAAGUAAAUCUUUUGUUAACUCAAUUGGUUUCUACUUUGGUAUUGGAGGUCUUUGCAGCUUCACACCUGCUCCUCUUUGUUCAUUAGCUGGAUCUCAGUGUUAUGCUUGGUUCCACUCGGCGUGAUAAGUUAUCUAUCGCUGAGGACACUGUAAAAGGUGGCCAAGGUAAAUGCAGAUGAACCGCUUCUAAUAGUCCAUUGACUUGGACAAUACUUUUAUGAUCUGAUCUCAUAUCAGGUAGGACUACCCGCUGAACUUAAGC